CUCGUAGGCGGUUCAACAAGUCGAUCGUGAAAGCCCGGGGCUCAACCCCGGGACGCCGGUCGAAACUGUUGUGACUAGGGUCCGGUAGAGGUGAGUGGAAUUCUCGGUGUAGCGGUGGAAUGCGCAGAUAUCGAGAGGAACACCAGUUGCGAAGGCGGCUCACUGGGCCGGUACCGACGCUAAGGAGCGAAAGCGUGGGGAGCAAACAAG
rnacentral:rRNA from 1 species